rnacentral:rRNA from 1 species
CGGGACGGGUGAGUAACGCGUGGAUAACCUGCCUCACACUGGGGGAUAACAGUUAGAAAUGACUGCUAAUACCGCAUGAGCGCACAGUACCGCAUGGUACGGUGUGAAAAACUCCGGUGGUGUGAGAUGGAUCCGCGUCUGAUUAGCCAGUUGGCGGGGUAACGGCCCACCAAAGCGACGAUCAGUAGCCGACCUGAAAGGGUGACCGGCUACAUUGGGACUGAGACACGGCCCAA